ACUCCCAAAAAUACACAGUCCAGACCGACCUCGUCGAGACGUCGACGUUUUGCAGCGGGGUGGAGCUGCGAAUUGCUCCUCCGUCGUCCGGCCGCCUCCCAGCGCAAGGCUGGUGUCCACGUCUUCCUCUCGUCGUCCCUGACAUCUCUGUUGUAUCAGAUUUCAUGGAAGAGCGAUGCUGAAAGAGAAUCGGAGGAGAGAAUUGUUUUCUGGGUUCGCCGGCGAGUUUACAAAUCUGGCCACAACGGCGGACAUGAAUGGUGGUGGUAGCUUCGCUUCAAUCUGGAGAACGUCUCUAUGACCUUAUUUUUUUUAAGAGAAGCUCGGAGGAGGGAGAAUCGAAGAGAAGAAGUUCUGGGAUUUUCCGGCGAGAGUUUGACAGAUUUUGGCGAGCUUCUAUUUCAACAUAGGUAUUUAAGUUGGUCUAUUCGAUGAGCUUACAUGUUUCUAUAAUUGGAAUUGAGAUUGGUUGGGUGUUGAAGAAGUUGGGUUUUGGCAGAGGAGGACCGUCGUGUGUGCUGCUGUGCACGACGGUGGUGGAGGUGUUUCUAUUGUUUUCUGGUUUUGAAUUUGUAUGCUGGAGUUGGAUUGAUAAUUAUUAUGUUGUCUGGAAUUAUAGAAAUUGUAGAAUUGGAGGUAGAGAGCUGAGUUGCAGGUUUGUUUGGGUUUACUGUGUUUGGUGUUGGCAGUGGUGGUAAAUGGUGGUGUUUCAAUCUUAGUUUAGUGAUUUCCAGUAGUUAUGAAUCUCAAAGCAUGUUUGUGAUUGUUAUAUAUGUUGGAAUUAGAUGAAUUGGAGAAUUGGAAGCAGUUGGGAUUCCGGCAAUGGGUGACCACUGUGAAGUUACUGUUUUGGGUGGCGGAAGUUUCAUGUAGUUGCUGACAUUGUUAGUUUACAGAUUAUGAAGGAGUAAAGCUUUGAAGUAUGAUUGUUAUAGAGAUGGCAAAGUGUAGCUGACAACAAGAAAUGGAUAGGUGAUGCCUAUGGAGAAUCUAAGUAGAGCAAGAUGGGUGUCCUUAGUAAUUGUGAGGACUAUGAUCAUUUUCUAUUCUGGACUAAGUUAAUUGAUCAUUUUGAUUUGGAAUUAUUUGCCGACUUUGUUCAAAUGAUUCGAUGCAAAGACCAAACGACUAACGACAAUCUCAGAAGCAGAAGGAUAAAGAUUUCAGAAGCGUGUCGUCGAGUUACUAAUUUCGUUGAUAGCUAUUUUGUAGAGAAAGUUAUAGCCGUCGGAAGGAGGGAAGGUCAUUCCGCAGAAAACUGGAAAAGGAAGGAGAAAAGUCUACCAACAUGGUGUAUGAGAGUGUGUGAUUUUAUGGUGUGUCACUAAAUUCUGCUUACCUCUUUGAGCAGAUUAUACCACAAUCUAUCUGUACCCGAUAUGGUUUGGCCAUAGGUGCAGCAGUGACUCCAUUUGUCCGUGUUCUUCUGUGGGUCUGCUUUCCUAUUGCAUAUCCAAUUAGCAAGUUAUUGAUCUAUCUUCUUGGCCACGGACAUGUAGCUCUGUUUCGCAGAGCGGAGUUAAAAACACUUGUAGAUUUUCAUGGCAAUGAGGCUGGGAAAGGUGGAGAAUUGACACAUGAUGAGACAACCAUUAUUGCUGGAGCACUUGAACUCAGUGAGAAAACUGCUAGUGAUGCCAUGACGCCUAUAGCUGAAACUUUUGCAAUUGAUAUCAAUGACAAGCUUGACAGGUUUAUUUUGGGCAGAGAACCACCAGUUUAUGCAAGUGUUGGAGUUAAAGGGUUUAAGGAGAUGUAGAGAGUUGGAGGUUUUGUUGAAUAGCUAAAUGAAAGAUUAUUUGUGUGGAACAUAUCUCUAUUUAUUAAGCUUGAUGUUUCUGUUUUUGGGUUCUUCAUUUUCAACACCCAAACAACUUCAUAAUGUUUUAUACUUAUGCCGAUUGUAUUAAGGGAAUGUAGUGAUAA